rnacentral:rRNA from 1 species
UACGAAGGGGGCUAGCGUUGUUCGGAAUUACUGGGCGUAAAGCGCACGCAGGCGGUUCGACCAGUCAGAAGUGAAAGCCCCGGGCUCAACCUGGGAAUUGCUUUUGAUACUGUCGAGCUUGAAUCACGGAGAGGGUAGUGGAAUUCCGAGUGUAGAGGUGAAAUUCGUAGAUAUUCGGAAGAACACCAGUGGCGAAGGCGACUACCUGGCCGUUGAUUGACGCUCAUGUGCGAAAGCGUGGGGAGCAAACAGG